rnacentral:misc_RNA from 1 species
UAACACCUUCACGGCGCUUCAGCUCUCUCAGCAAGCAACACAAAGCGGCACACCUACUUUUCAAGCUCACCUUCCCCGUUGCUGCCGACACCCCACUGCCGACGCUGUUUCUGCUGACCGCUAUCCUUUCUCUCGUGCAACCAGCCCAUUGAGGGCACUGCCCGCAGCCAUGAGCGACAAGUUGGAGGCGAACAGGCGGCGCUCAAACUCUUUGUCGGAGGAGCCGGCACGCCAGGAUGCAAAGAAUGUCAUGGAGGACGAGGGAGACGCUCCGCCGUUCAUGUCGGCGAGCAACGCCAAGGUUAUGUUGGUGCAGGCCAUUGGUGGCAGCCUCAACGGCUACUCGAUCGGCUUUGUCGGCGUGUACUCAACGCUGUUUGGCUACAGCACGAACUGCGCGAACUUCCGCAGCGAGAGAGGCUGCACGACGGCGCCGAACGCCGACUGCCAGUGGUUUCCGAACGCGACUGGCACCGGCUACUGUGGCUGGCCCGAGAUCACGUGCCGCAGAACAUACACCUACUCGAGUGCUUCGGAAAUGCCGGGUGCGAUUACCCAGUGCGAGGCAGACCCGCGGUGCAGGUGGUCCUACAGCGCCAAGGAGUGCCAGAACCCGUCGGGCUACUCGUCGUCGGAAAGCGGUAUCUUCGCCGGCUCGAUGAUUGCCGGCUGCUUGAUCGGCUCCGUGUUUGCUGGCCCGCUUGCGUCGACGAUUGGCGCGAGGCUCUCGUUUCUGCUCGUUGGCCUCGUGGGUGUUGUGUCGUCCGUGAUGUGCCAUGUGUCGACCUCCGAGAACGAGUUUUGGGUGCUGAUUGUCGGCCGCUUCGCGAUUGGCCUGUUCCUGGGCGUGAUCGGUGUUGCGUGCCCUGUGUACACUGACCAGAACGCGCACCCGAAGUGGAAGCGCACGAUUGGUGUGAUGUUCCAGGUGUUCACGACACUGGGCAUCUUCGUUGCGGCGGCGGUUGGCCUUGCACUUGGCCAGAGCAUCUGGUUUGACCGCGACAAGGACCAGAUGGUGAUGGCGCGCAUGCAGGGCCUGUGCGCAUUCUCGACCCUGUUCAGCCUGCUGACGAUCCUGCUUGGGAUUGUGAUGAGCGAAUCGCGCGCGAAGUUCGGCGGCGACGAUGAGGAGGGCGGCAUUGAGCUGGACCCGAACGAGUACGGCUACGUCGAAAUGAUCCCGCGCCUGCUGAUGGGCGCCGUGAUGGCUGGCACGCUGCAGCUGACUGGCAUCAACGCUGUGAUGAACUACGCGCCGACGAUCAUGGGCAGUCUUGGCCUGGCGCCGCUGGUGGGCAACUUCGUUGUGAUGCUGUGGAACUUCGUGACGACGCUUGCGUCGAUCCCGCUCUCGUACGUGUUCACGAUGCGCCAGCUGUUCCUCUUCGGCUCGCUCUUCACGUCGAGCAUGUGCCUGUUCAUGUGCGGUAUUCCCGUGUACCCUGGUGUCAGCAAGAAGACGGAGGUGAAGAACGGCGUGGCCAUCACUGGCAUCCUGCUGUUCAUUCUCGGCUUCGAGGUGUGCGUGGGCCCGUGCUACUACGUUCUGACGCAGGACAUGUUCCCGCUGUCGUUCCGCCCGCGCGGUGCGUCGUUCACGCAGGUGACCCAGUUCAUCUUCAACCUGAUCAUCAACGUGUGCUACCCGAUCGCGACCGAACACAUCUCUGGCGGCCCUUCAGGCAACCAGGACAAGGGCCAGGCCGUUGCCUUCAUCUUCUUCGGCUGCGUGGGCAUUAUCUGCUUCAUCGUCCAGGUCUUCUUCCUGCACCCGUGGGACGAGAAGCGCGAUGGCAAGAAGAGGGCGGCGGCUCCGGCUGACGGGAAGAAGGAGCUGAGCGGGGAAUUCAUUGCGAAGAAAGACAUUUAAAUAAUAUCCCAUGGGCCGAAGCAGUUUGUGUGCCGUUUCGUGGGCAGGUGGUGCGUACUGGUUCGCAGCAAUGUUUUUUCGGGUUUUGUUUUUCUCGCUGCUCUUUUGAUGCCGUCCUCUGUCAAGUUGUAUUGUCGGGAUCUGCUGUGUCACGUCGCCAUCUGCGGCGUGUGUCACGAUAACUGACGGAGCUAACGCGACGGUGUUGUUUUCGUCAUCUAGUUUCUGGUCGUUUCGUUCGCGGUGUAUGCCCAUCGAAUGCUUUGUCUUGUGUGCAGCGAUCGUGGUGAGCCUGCACGACACACCUGUUUUGUAGGAAGGGCGCGUGUGCCGAGAGAAAAUAGCGAAGGGCGGGGUAUGAGAGGAAGCCAAGCACAAAGGAUGGUUAGAGUUUAUAUCCGAUCACUAACAUGCCUCUGUGCAGCACCCGCUCUGCGUACGUGAAUCGGAAUGUACUUGUGUAACGGCACACAAGCCAAAAUGAAAAACAAAAACAUCCCUGCUCAUGCCUUUUUUUUGCUGUUUUUGGUUCCUGGCAUCAUCUUCGUGCCCUCUGCUCCUUCACGAGCACCCCCCAUCCUGCUUCUUCCAUAUGUGUGCGCUUGUAGGCCGACCACACUUGCAAUUCACCUGUUCGGCACUCGGGACCCGAGUGCGGGUCAGGGUGAUCGACUUUUUUUUCACCGAGGCGCAUGCGCGGCUUUAUUACGCCGACGACUUGAGGAGUCGUUCCCUAGUCUGCGCUCCCUUCUCAGCGCACGAAUGGGAUGUGCUGCCAUGUUUCCCAUAUCCUUUCCGUUGUGACGAAAUGGAGGAGGACCCGUGACUUAGCGACAGUAGUUCGGUACCAAACGAUGCCCUCUUGUGUGUGUGUGUGCUUUUGCUUGCUUCGUUGUUCUCUUUUUCGUGAACAAACAAAAAGUUUUUUUUUGUCGCUCUUGUUUUUGCUCUCUUGUGCGUCUGUAUUUAAAUGUACAUAUAUAUAUAUAUAUAUGUGUGUGUGUGUGUGUGCGUAAAGAGGGAAAAGGGGUGAGUGGUGCGUGUGCUUGUAUGUGGAUGGGGCACUCGUAUUGUUUGCGUAUGCUAGAGCUCCCCGCUGUCUUCCUAUCUUCUUUGUAAGUCAUUCUCGCUUCUUGUUUUUCCCUCGCCUUGCUUCACCUUGUGGGACGAAUUCGUCGGCGGGGCCCAUCGUUUUUAUCCCCCAUCACUUUAUUUUCACGCGCAGGUGCACUGCAUGGCCACCCCCUCGUAUAUUUGAGUGUGCGGUUGUGCUGGGGCUCCGAAGAAGGCGUUUGGAGAGGGAGGAAACUGCGCCGCACGCGAAUUUUUUUUCGCGCAGGCUGCAAGGCAGAAAAGCAAACAAAUGAUAAAAGAGCCGCCCACAUGCUAGCGCGUCUAUCCUGUCUCUUCAGGACAGCUGCUUUGCCGAAGAUAACCUCUCUUUGGUUAACUCAGUAUUCUCUGUCGCUCCAGCGCUCUACAGAUCGCAGCUGUUCGCAGGCGCAUUCAUUAUGUCGAGGCGAUGCGCUCUCCUUUUCUCUCUCGCACGCACAGAAGAGACCCCACAAUGCCCAAAGAAACACCAGCGCCACAACGAAAACAAGAGCGAAAAAAAAGUAUACUCAUCGCGCUACCCCAUAGGAAGGGGUUUCCUUAUCAUAACCGCCACUUGUUUUGUUUGCUACUCAGCGAAAAAAAAACGCACAUCCUUCCGUUUCACAGAGAAACAAAGGAAUACCUGCUUGUCUGCGUGCGUUUGUGGUCUGCCUCUUUUUCUUACCUACCUCGAUAUGAGUGCCCCUCAACUCUUUAGUAGUGACCCCUCUCUUCCCCUUUUGUUCCAGGAGCUGAAGUGAAACAAUGCAAUAGAAAAAAAACAAAGGAUAUAUACAGCGCCAGUGUCCCCACGCGUCCGACGUGCUUUAGCUGGUUCGUGCAAGCUUCAGCCUACCACUUUCCGCCUUCUGUUUUUGUACGUUCUCCACACAUGUUUGCCGUUUUAUUGCUGUUGUCUGCGCUUAUGUAGUUCCUCUUCUGUAUCUCUCUGCCUGACGCACACAGGCACUCCGUUACGUGCUUCAUCUCUCUGCCUUUUUCCCCAUCCGUGGUGGUGGUGUUGGCCGUCUCUUUCUUUCUCUCUGCUUCUUUUCCUUUACAUGUCUGUGUUGCCCCAGUGCUUUCUCCUUUCCUCCCCGUCAAUUCUUCCCUUUCUCUCAGCCCCCACUACACCCACCCCACCCCCACACCACAACACACAUGCGUCACAUUUUCCCCCUUCCUUUUCUGCUUUGUUUGUUGCGUAGGGACUGAUAGAGGUGGCUCUUCGGUGCAUCUAUAUGUGUCGAUGCGUCCCUGAUGCCUUCGCACUCUCCCUCUUUUUUUGUUGCCCACCAUAUAUAUAUAUAUAUAUAUAUAUAUAUGGCUUUUGCAGUGAUGCAAAAUGCAGGUGCUGGUGCAUGUCUCCGACAGGGCUACGAAGGAGCCGCUUGGUCUUCUGCCCCCCUCCUCCUCCUCUGAAUGUCGUGAUGAGGCGACAGCUCUGUGUUUUCGUUUCCGCUCUCGGCGCCUCUUCUGCAUGUUUGUUUGCUCACUGAAUCGCGUGCUGCUGUUGCCUUGUCUGCUGCUGUUUCUUGCAGAAGCAGUGAGGUCUCGGUGAGAUGGGACGAGGCUGGAACUCGUGACACGGCGGAGGCAAGAAAUCUACAAUCACAGCGUUCCACAAUGAAGGCGACAGCGAUAGGCAAGGGACAAGCAGCGCCGGAGGAGGAAGGGGAUGGCAAGAAGGACAGAGGAAAAAGAAACCGACCUGCAGGAUUAUAUUUACGCGAACGAUUUUAAUACAAAAAAAAACGAAACAAAAACACAUUCAAAAAUGAAAACUUUAGAGAGCAAGGUAACGAAAAAAAAGUAAGAGCAUCGCUGCCUUACUAUGUGCCUCUUUGAAAGAAACCCCAUCGCUUCACUGCCACGAUCGCGCUUUUUCUUUAUCCCCCUAUUGCGUUUUUUUUUUUGCUCGCACCAGAGACGUCUUCUUUAUCCAGCACACAUAUAACAACACGCAUGCAUUGCUACGCUUGUUUUGUUUCACUUUUCGCUCGUUUUGUAUGUGUGUUCCUGAGCUCAUCUCUUGAAACUUCUCACUCUUUUCCUUUUGUUGUUUUUUCCGCUCCUUCGCUUUCGCUCUCUCUCUGUGUAUGACUUCCCCCUCCUCUUCUCCUCCCCCUCGUCCACAUGUCGAUGUCGACUUCGUCUUUUUUUUUUUCGUUUCGGGGUUUUUGAUUCCACUUGAGCCACGGAAGGAAACACACACGUUCUUUGCUCUGUCCACCCUUCUUUUCUUUUUGUUUCCUUCGAUGUUAGUGCCCGACUGCUAUUACGGAAGUAGGAGCCAAAAGAGUGGAAAGCAGUCAAAAACAAAGUAGAUGUGAGGAAGCUCUAUACCCCUAUGCGUAUAGUGGGCACUCGAGUCUCUCCCCUCACCCCCGUUGCUAUGCCCCUUCCUCCUCUUGCUUUCUGUGUCUAUCACGAGGGGGCACGAAGGACGGAAGGGGGCAUCACGCAGGCUGAUAUACCAUUCUCUCAUACAGCCCAAACAGCAAGAUGAAAGCGAACGACUAAAACAAAAGAGUGAGAGAGAGAGAGAUCAAACAACUGUGGCAGAACCAACGAUGAACACCAUCAGGCGUCGCGCGAAGAAGCUACCGAGGGCUCGGCGUACGCCUAGCGGGCAGGAGGAGACAGAAGAAAACGGUAAGAGACGCUUUGGAGAGGGGCGCCAAUUGACCACACACACACACACAGAUUCACGAGCUUGCUCUCGUGUGAGGUAGAGAGGAGCACGCGAAGAAGCCGAAAAAGAAAGGGGAGGAGGCCCCUUCGGAGAGGCCCACUUCAACACCCCCCACUUUCCCGCUGGAACACACCAGCCCUGGGUCUGAACAAAGAAGAGUACAAAAAAGGGCAAGGAAGGAAGGCGCAGGAGGAUUCUUGAAACGAGAGCGAGCGAGCGAACAAGAACAGAAAAGCGCCGUGCAUUCAGAAUAAUCUCAGCCAAGAUGCACCGAAAAGCAGCACUGCCGGCAACGCGUUGCUGCUCUUUUUCUUGUUUUUGUUCCCUCUGGUGUUUCAUGUGACUGACGUUUUCCCCCUUACGCCUCCCGUCGUUGUGUCUUUCUGCGCAUUACUCUUGCUCCCCCAAACCCGAGGCUCGAGACAAACGUAGGUGGGCGAACGAAUGAGCAGCACUGCUCUUUUUCGUGUCGCUCUUUAGCCUUUUCGUUGCCUCCCCCCUCCAUCCCUCUCUCGCUGUCAAUGUGUUGCUCGGCCCUCUUCUCGCGUUUUGUCAUUUUUGUGUGUGCGUGUGCGCGUGUCUGCCCUUCACGAGAGAGCUGAACGUGCGCACAGUGUCUCCUCGUCCUCCUCCACGCACUCUCCUGCUCACUACAUCCGUUAGCGAAACGCUUUCCUUUGCCGCCGACAACUAAGAGCAGCCACAAACACAAAGAAGGGCAAGAGGUGGAAGAUGAUAGUAAUAGGAGCACAGCAAAGAGAGACGGGGGGAAGGAACGAAGGAGAGAAGGAUCGCGCACGUGCGCAAGGCGCCAAACCACACGGCAGCAUACGCAGAGCGAGAGGGACACACGCUCGAGCCCGAACUUCUUUCCUCACGCUCUUUUCACUUCUCCGCACCCUCCUUUAUUCUCUCCUCCGAUCAGCAAAGCAGCGAGCUGGUUUGUGUUGCUGCUCUUGUGUCUCUCCCCACCACCGUUCUCCAUCUGCACAGGUUGCAUUCAUGGACAGCUUCGGAGUUGUCCUCUUCACCUCUUCACCUCUUGCCUUUCGCUCAUUUGCGUGGGACUGCCACGCCCGUUUUUUUUUUUUCGCUCUCGUGGCGCUGUUUGUUUUCUUCUUCCGUGUAUCUUGUCAGUGCCUUUUUCGUCUCGUAACGUCUGCAUUCGACUGUAGUGAUGCCACAACAACUGCAAUGGCAUGAGCGAUGCAACCCG